CACACACACACACACACGUAGUGAUGAAACUAUAUUUCCAUAUUAUAAAUACUAAUUUUAAUAUAUGAAUAUGUAUUAAAACCCCAUUUCAUUUACAUAUAAAUGGAUAUGUAUUUCCUUCUUUCGUUAUUUAUUAUUUUUUAUAUUUACUUUGGUUUAUUUUUUGUCUUUUCUUCAUUGGCCUGCCUGAUCUUCUCACUCUGGGCUCUGGUGACCUCAGCCUCCCCAGUAGCUAGGACUACGGGGAUCUCUUAAGCCCGGGAGGCAGAGGCUAACGUGGGCUGCGAUCGCGCACUUCCACUCCAGCUUACGUGAGGAUCACCCCAGCCUCCACGCUUUGGACCGACCGAGAAGAGGUCGUCCUGCCUCUGAUCCCUCCCAUCCCCAUUACCUGGGACUACAGGCACGCACCACCACACCGGUUGACUUUUAUGUUGUUUCUCAUGUUUUCCGUAGGUGUCUUCUCACAUGUCGACGUGAUCUCAAACUGUUAGGCCCCAGCGAUCCUCCCACGUCGGCCUCCCAGAGUGCUGUGACGACACCUGUGAGUCACGACGCAGUGUCACUCUUGUCGCCCAGGGUGGAGUCCGAUGGCGCGAUCUCGGCUCACCGCAACCUCCGCCUCCUAGGUUCGACUGAUUCUCCUGCCUCAGCCUUCCCGGGUGACGGGAAUGCGCCAUCAUGCCCGGCUAAUUUUCCUAUUUUCGGUACACGCGGGGUCUCUCCAUCUUGGUCAGUCUCGUCUUCAACUUCCGACCGUUGGAGAAUUUUAACUUUCUUGGUGGUUGCUUCUCUUUUUUUUUUUUUUUUCGUUUUUCUUUUCUUUCCUUCUCCUCCCCCACCCCCACCCCCCAUGUUCUCCUCCUCCUCCUCCUCCUC